UGUGGGAGGAGUUAAGAAGACAUAAUGGGAUUCAGUCUGGUGCCUUGACGAGCUUUCCCUUGUAGUGACUUUGAGAUGGCAGUGUUUGAAGCUUGAUGAAGUCAUGGACGGAGCAUCUCAGGAGAGUAUCCACUGCUUAGGGACAGAAGACCACCCAGGAGCUCACCCUAGUUUUUCCUGCUGCUUGCUCCAGACCCAGAAACUGCAGUGUCAGGCAAGUUGAAGUCUCCUGCGAGGGUGAAGCUUGUGCUCUCUGGAAGGUCAGGAGGAUUUCCUUAAGCUCUUCUCCAGGACACUGAUGUUCAGCUUGUUGCUGCCAUGACAAGGAUGCCAUAUGUUCUGGAAUGAUGUGUUAUAAAGUCCUGUGUGUGACUUCAGCUUGCCCAACUGGAAGACCAGCGGCAGCUCCCAGCCUCAGCCCUGCCCAGGUGAGACCUGAACAGCUGUGCCUACCCGUGAGGAGAAGCUGCUUGCUUUCAUGGCCCCUUGCUGCAGACCAUACCUUCCCACUGUCUCCAUCCAGGCCUCUCCCCCUGCAUGGGAUCCUGUACUUGUAGCUGGACUGCAGCUUGCUGUCUGGGUCGCACAAUGCUGCAGCACAUUAGGGAUAUUCUGCCUCUGGCUGCCAUCUGCUGUGUUGCCUCCUUCUAUGCCUUUAGGACUUGUAAAUAUGAUGACAUGUCUUUUAUCUUUGCAUCAUGUUAUUGAUAAUGAUGCUCCAAACAGCCCAGGCUAAGACUUGCAUACUUCACCUCCUACUGACAACUAUUGUAACUCAUGAGUCAGUGACCUGGGCGUAUGACCCAUUCUGUCAUGUGGUUCCAUACCAUAGCCAGUUUCAUUUGCUAUGCAUGAGGGUUACUCCCUUCAUCUUUAUACCCCUAUGCAAGGCAGAGGGUCGAAAGAUGGCAGGUAUUUAUAGCAGGGUAGA